rnacentral:rRNA from 1 species
GACGAACGCUGGCGGCGUGCCUAAUACAUGCAAGUCGAGCGAAGCGGCGGAUGGGUGAGUAACGCCUGGGUAACCUGCCCUUAAGUCUGGGAUACCAUUUGGAAACCGAUGCUAAUACCGGAUACUAACGGAUGGACCUGCGAUGCAGUAGGUAGUUGGUAAGGUAACGGCUUACCAAGGCGAUGAUGCAUGUCCGAGUGGAGAGACGGAUCGUGCACAUUGUGCCUGAGACACGGCCCAAACUCCUAGGGGAGGCAGCAGUAGUGAAUCUUCCACAAUGGACGAAAGUCUGAUGGGGUAACGCCGCGUGAGUGAGGAAGGUUUUCGGAUCGUAAAGCUCUGUUGUUGGUGAAGCGGUAAUCAACCAGAAAGUCACGGCUAACUACGUGCCAGCAGCCGCGGUAAUAC